rnacentral:rRNA from 1 species
GACGAACGCUGGCGGCGUGCCUAAUACAUGCAAGUCGAGCGAGCUUGCCUAGAUGAUUUCAGUGCUUGCACUAAAUGAAACUAGAUACAAGCGAGCGGCGGACGGGUGAGUAACACGUGGGUAACCUGCCCAAGAGACUGGGAUAACACCUGGAAACAGAUGCUAAUACCGCAUAACAACAAAAGCCACAUGGCUUUUGUUGAAAGAUGGCUUUGGCUAUCACUCUGGGAUGGACCUGCGGUGCAUUAGCUAGUUGGUAAGGUAACGGCUUACCAAGGCAAUGAUGCAUAGCCGAGUUGAGAGACUGAUCGGCCACAUUGGGACUGAGACACGGCCCAA